rnacentral:piRNA from 1 species
CUGGUCUGCAGGGGGCUCGUCGCU